rnacentral:rRNA from 1 species
AUUGAACGCUGGCGGCAGGCCUAACAAAUGCAAGUCGAGCGAGCGGCGGACGGGUGAGUAAUGUCGGGGAAAAUGCCUGAUGGAGGGGGAUAACAACUGGAAUCGGUAGCUAAUAACGCAUACCAUCAGAUGUGCCCAGAUGGGAUUGGCUAGUAGGUGUGGUAAUGGCUCACCUAGGCGACGAUCCCUAGCUGGUAUGAGAGGAGGAUCAGGCACACGGGAACUGAGACACGGUCCAUACUCCUACGUGAGGCAGCAGUGGGGAAUAUUGCACCAAGGGCGCAAGCCUGAUGCAGCCAUGCCGCGUGUGUGAAAGAGGCCUUCGGGUUGUAAAGCACUUUCAGCGGGGAGGCGUUACCCGCAGAAGAAGCACCGGCUAACUCCGUGCCAGCAGCCGCGGUAAUUC